UGGUUCUUGGAACUUUUUGGUUGCUGAAGACCUCUCUUUUGGUAAAAGAUCAGUAAGUUUAAAUAAGAUCAAGCUUAUGGAUAUUAAUCAAAUUUCUUCCUAACCCAUGUAUCGGUUCUGCAUUGUAGGUUGCCUGUUGCCUUUUUUGCUUUGCUUGUUUUUCACUCUUCUAUAAAUUGAUGAUUUCUAUUUUCAGGUCACAGCAUAAAUCAGCAUUUUAAGGAGUGUACUUUCAUUUGAAUGUUGGUUGGCAGUUGAAAUUUUUUGUUGUUUUAGGAGUCUAUCUGCUUUCUCAGCUUGUUUAUUUUCUUAUAACUGUGGUACAUAUUCUAAUAGGUUCCAAGCAAUAAACAUCAUGCUACAGGAUGAACAAAGGAGGUUCUGAGAUGGCUAACAGAGAUAACUUUUCUGCUGAGGGGUGUUUUCUAUAUGUUAUUUUCACACAGAUUUUUGGAUUGUCUUCAGCAAUGCUGAUCCAUUGGAGCAAUCUUUUAGCAGGGCCUCAGCUAUUUCAGUUCAAGAUGGAUCUGGGGUUGUUCACAUGAAUAUUUGUGGUCUCUUGAAGAUUAUGAAUUAUGAUUGUGUAUCUAUUGCUCUUCGGGCAUAUUAUGUUUUGCAGUAUUUUUUAUUUUUUUGUAUGGCAAGAUCAGUGGUAAUUUCCAAGUCUUCAUACUCCUGUCAAUGUUCAUGUGGAGAUUCUGGGGGACGAUGGCACAUCUUGCUUUCCUGAAACUUUGCUAUAUUUUAUGGUAUAUCAAGUUUUUUUGAUUAUAUAUUUCCUCAAACAGCUUUACGAGUGGUAAUCUUGAAGAAUAACUAUUCGUCUGUAGCAGAGUUUUCCAGUUUGCUUUGCUUAUACUGAAUCUAUCUUGGGCAAUCGAGCAUUACAUAGUCUAAUGCUGUUCUGCUUUUUUCUUUUUCUUCAUCAUCUUUUUCUUUUGGAUGGUUGGUUGGUUGGUUGUGUAGAAUUUUUUUCCGGGUUGUGGGCGGGGGGGUGGCUAUUUACCUUCACAUUCAUGAUAGUUUUUGUUGUUUUAGGAGUCUAUUUGCCAUCAAGUUGCUUUUUUGUUAUAACUGUUUCAUAUAAAUUCUAAUAGGUUCCAAGCAAAAAACAUCAUGCUACAGGAUGAACAGAGGUGACCGAAGUUACUAAUAUUGUAAGAAUCAUUUGAGAUGGCUAAGAGAAAUAAAUUUACAACCUUGGUGUUUCUGUUAAGGCAAUUAUAUGUGAAGCUUGUCUGCUCAUUUCCAAUUGGGUUUUCUGAGACAUAUUUCAGCAUGUCUGCUUGUGUCAUAUAGCAUUUUAAUUUUCUUGCAAGGAUUUCUACGAUGAAUUGAGUAAAAAAUUAUCUGGCUUUAUUCAUACCCUGUUUACAUCUUGCACAGCAUUUAUUUAUUUAUUUGUUUGUAGGGAUUUCUGAAAUGGAUCGAGAGAAUUCAAGUUAUAAGCUAAUCGUUGCCACAAGUGCCUCACAUGGUUUUUGAUCUUUCCUUUUUCAAUGUCCUUUUGCAGAUAUUCUUUUGAUUAUCUGACUCCUUAUUUACUAUGUGAUAUUUCUGUCAUUUUUUCAGCAACACAGAAAUGCUUAUUUGCUCUGUAGAGUUGCAAAUGCUGUUCUUGAGAUGGAGUGUUUUCUAUAUGAUGUUUUCACACUUACUGAUUUUUUUUCAUGUGACUUGAUGCCUUUCUUACCAUUAUUUAUUUAUUUGUUGUAAUGGUAUUGCAAGUCAGGGUUUUCAUUAGAUAUUUCUAAGAUAUAAUACAAGAAUCUUUGCUACUUUUCUCUAAAGUAACGACAAGGUUUGGUGUUUGAUAUAUCCGUGGAUAACUUUAAGCAUUAGAUAUGUUUUCUAGUUUCUUAAUAGUUUUUGAUGGUUCAGUGUUUGAAGUUUGUGGUUCUGGAGCUUUUCGGUUGCUGAAGACAUCUGGUAAAUGAGUCUGUAAGCUUUUAUGAGAUUUAGUGUUUGUGAUCUUACUCUUAUGAUAUUAAUCAAAUUUCUUCCUAACCCAUAUAUCAGUCUGCAUUUUAAGUUGCCCACUACCUUUUUUGAUUUGUUUGUUUUUUUACUCUUCUAGAAAUUAAUGACUUCUAUUUGCAGGUCACAGCAAAAAUCAGCUUUUAAAAAUUUUACCAUGAUUUUAAUUUAAUUUUAUUUUUUUGCAAUUUUAGGGUUAUAUUCACCUUCACUUUCAUGAUUUUUUUUUUUAAAUUACUGUUUUAGGAGUCUAUUUACACUUGAUUAUUUUCUGAUUACUGUGAUUCAUAUUCUAAUCGAUUCAAAGCAAUAAAGAUUAUGCUACAGGAUGAACAGAGGUGACUGAAGUUGUUAAUCUUGUAAAAAUGUUCUGAUCUAUUAUAAAUGACAUUUAAUACUUUCUUGCAGGAAAUUCUGAGAUGGCUAAGAGAAAUAAAUUUACAACCUUGUAAUUUCUGUUAAGGCAAUUAUCUGUGGAGCUUGUCUGCUUAUUUCAAAUUAGGUUUUCUGAGAUGUAUUUCAGCUUACCUGCUUGUCACAUGGCAUUUUUGUUUUCUUGUGAGGAUUGGUAGGAUGAAUCAAGUGAAAAAUCAACUAGCUUUACUCAUACCCUGUUUACAGCUACAUAGCAUUGAAUUUUCUUGCAGGGAUUUCUAAUAUGGAUGGGGAGAAUUCAAGCUAUAAGGUAAUUGUCACCACAAGUGUCUUCCAUGGUUUGAUCUUUCCUUCUCCAGUAUCCUCUUGCAGACAUUCUUUUGAGUUUUGAUUAUCUGACUCUUUAUUUACCGUGUGAUGUUUCUUUCAUGUUUUCGGCAACAUAGAAAUGCUUAUUUGCUCUAUAGAGUUGCAAAUGCUGUUCUUGAGAAGGGAUGUUUUCUGUAUGCCAUUUUCACACUUAUUUUUUUGAUUGUCUUCCGGCAUUGACUGAUCUGUUGGAGCAAUCUUUUAGCAGGGUCUGAUUCAACUUUUUUCAGUUCAAGAUGGAUCUGGGGUUUUUCACAUGAAUAUUUGUGGUCUCUUGAAGAUUGUGAAUAAUGAUUGUGUAUCUUUUGCACUUCCGAUGUAUUAGGGAUUCCGGAGGACAAUGGUGCCUCUUUUUUCCCCUGGCACUUUGCUAUUUUAUGGUAUCAAGUUUGUGAGCAUAUAUUUCCUCAAACAGCCAUUCUCGAAGAGUAACUGUUCUUCUAUGGCUGAGUUUUUCAGUUUUCUUUGCUUAUACUGAAUGUAUCUUGUGCAAACCAGUGUGAUGUAGUCAUAUGCUAUUCUGCUUUCUUCUUCUUCUUCCCCUUCUUCUUUUAGUUGAUGGUUGGUGGCAUUGGGGGGUGGAAGGUGGGGGCGUGGGGUAGGGUUCCUAUUUAUCCUCACUUUCUCUGAUAUUUUUUGUUGUUUUAGAAUUCUAUAUUCCUUCAAGCGGUAAAGCCCAUGCUGCAGGAUGGACAGAGGAAACUCUGAGAUGGCUAAGAGAAACAAAUUUACAACCUUGUAUGUUCUUUGGAGGCAAUUAUAUGUGGAGCUUGUCUACUCAUUUCCAAUUGGGUUUUCUGAGUGAGAUGUAUUUCAGUCUGUCUGCUUGUCGCAUGGCAUUUGAAUUUUCUUGGAUUUCUAAACUAGAUGGAGAGAAUUCAGGCAAUAAGCUAAUGGCUGCCACAAAUAUCUCACAUGGAGUUCUAUGUGCCUUCAACUUGGUUAUUCUCUUAUAUCUGUGAUUCAAAUUCUAAAAGCUUCCAAGCAAUAAACAUCAUGCUACAGUAUGAACAGAGGAAAUUCUGGGAUGGAUAAGAGGGGUAAAUUUACAGCUUUGUAAUUUCUGUUAAGGCAAUUAUAUUUGGAGUUUGUCUGCUCAUUUCCAAUUGGGUUUUCUAAGAUGGAUUUCUAAAAUGGAUGGAGAAAAUUCGAGCUAUAAGCCUCGUUGCAUAAAUAUUUUCUUACUGAUUUUGGUUAUUUUUAAAAUUUUUUAAAGAGAAAAUAUAUAUUUUGUGAAAUAUAUCUUUUUGGUCAUCAUUAAUGCUAAAGUAUGCAUCCAUGGAUAGUAAUUUUUGCUCAGACUUUAGUAACAAAGCUUGCUAAUGACAAUGCUUUCAUUCUCAGACUCUAUGGUCCUUGUCUUCAUUGGCGGAUUCAGAAAUUUUGCUUUAUGAGAUUAGUACAGUAAAAAAAGUGGAGGAGCUGCAGAGGAAGAAAGAAGAAAAUAAUAAUAAAAUAUUAUUUUUUAAAAAUAACAAAGUAUAUAAAAAAAUGAUAAUGUACAAUAUUUAAAUAUCUUUUAUGAUA